UGAGGAAAGUGAUGAUAUGAAAUUGUCGCCCCAGGCUUAAUCUGCAUCCAUUACGAUGGUUGUAACAUGGUGAUUGACUAUUUUUGUCUGAUUCUCUCAAAUCGUUUAUUAUGAUUCUGUUAUAAUGGUUGUGUAUGGAUAUGAUGAAAUGGCAAUAAUGUUUUGUGACACCCAGUCUGAUCUUCGUGAUUGAUUUGCCAUAUUUUCUGAUCCUAAUUCUUCUUCAGUUUUGUGAAUUUUGAUUCAAAGUUUUGAUCUUUGAAAGGGAGGAAUGAGGAUGUAAUUCCAUACGUCUGCAAAUCUGAAAUACAGUGUUGAUACAAUGACAUGCACUACCAUCUGACCUCUGUUUUCUUGUUUUUGUUUUUGUUUUCAAU
rnacentral:sRNA from 1 species